rnacentral:rRNA from 1 species
UGGUGGAGUGAUUUGUCUGCUUAAUUGCGAUAACGAACGAGACCUUAACCUGCUAAAUAGCCCGGCCGGCCUUGGCCGGUCGCCGGCUUCUUAGAGGGACUAUCGGCUCAAGCCGAUGGAAGUUUGAGGCAAUAACA